rnacentral:rRNA from 1 species
UAUAUGUUGGUAGAGGAGCAUUGUUAGCGGAACGAAGCCAUACCGGAAGGAGUGGUGGACUGCUAAGAAGAGAGAAUGCCGGAAUGAGUAGCGAGAUUGAAGUGAGAAUCUUCAAGGCCGAAUAUCUAAGGUUUCCAGGGUAAAGCUGAUCUGCCCUGGGUAAGUCGGGACCUAAGGCGAGGUCGAAAGACGUAGCCGAUGGACAACAGGUUGAAAUUCCUGUACUGCGAUAUAUCAGAAAUGUGGGGACACAGAAGGAAAGUGUGAGCCGGGAAAGGAAAGACCGGUGCAAGCACAGGAGGAGAGAUACAGGCAAAUCCGUAUUUCAAUCCAAUGGUGUUACGCGGAGCGAACAAAAGUAGCGAAGCACACAGACCAUCUGUCGAGAAAAGCCGCUAUUGUGUAUACCGUACCCGUACCGUAAACCGACACAGGUGGAUGAGGAGAGAGUCCUAAGGCCGGCGGGAGAAGCAUUGUUAAGGAACUCGGCAAAAUGACCCCGUAACUUCGGGAGAAGGGGUGCUCACGCAAGUGAGCCGCAGAGAACUGGCCCAAGCAACUGUUUAGCAAAAACACAGGUCUAUGCAAAACCGAAAGGUGAGGUAUAUGGGCUGACGCCUGCCCGGUGCUGGAAGGUUAAGAGGAGAUGUUAGAGCAAUCGAAGCAUUGAAUUUAAGCCCCAGUAAACGGCGGCCGUAACUAUAACGGUCCUAAGGUAGCGAAAUUCCUUGUCGGGUAAGUUCCGACCCGCACGAAAGGCGUAAUGAUUUGGGCACUGUCUCGACAAUGCACCCGGUGAAAUUGAAAUACCAGUGAAGAUGCUGGUUACCUGCGCCAGGACGGAAAGACCCCAUGGAGCUUUACUCUAGCUUGAUACUGGGAUUCGGUAUUGCAUGUACAGGAUAGGUGGGAGACGAAGAGGUGAUGACGCCAGUUGUCACGGAGUCGAUGUUGGGAUACCACCCCUGCAGUACUGGGUUUCUAACCUGCGGCCGUGACCCGGCCGGGGGACAAUGUCUGGUGGGGAGUUUGACUGGGGCGGUCGCCUCCGAAAGGGUAUCGGAGGCGCUCAAAGGUUCCCUCAGAAUGGUUGGAAACCAUUCGAAGAGUGCAAAGGCAGAAGGGAGCUUGACUGCGACACCGACGGGUGGAGCAGGUACGAAAGUAGGACUUAGUGAUCCGGUGGUAUGAAAGUGGGAUUGCCAUCGCUCAACGGAUAAAAGCUACCCUGGGAUAACAGGCUUAUCACUCCCAAGAGUUCACAUCGACUGAGUGGUUUGGCACCUCGAUGUCGGCUCAUCGCAUCCUGGGGCUGUAGUAGGUCCCAAGGGUUGGGCUGUUCGCCCAUUAAAGCGGUACGCGAGCUGGGUUCAGAACGUCGUGAGACAGUUCGGUCCCUAUCCGGCGUGGGCGCAGGAUAUCUGAGAGGAGCUGUCCUUAGUACGAGAGGACCGGGAUGGACUGACCUCUGGUGCAUCGGUUGAGCCACCAGGCUCAUGGCCGAGUAGCCAAGUCGGGACGGGAUAAACGCUGAAGGCAUCUAAGCGUGAAGCCCCCCUCAAGAUGAGAUAUCCCAUAGAGUUAAUCUAGUAAGACCCCUUGAAGACGACGAGGUAGAUAGGCAGAAGGUGGAAGUGUGGUGACAUAUGGAGCUGAUCUGUACUAAUAGGUCGAGGGCUUAACU